rnacentral:rRNA from 1 species
CCUACGGGUGGCAGCAGUGAGGAAUAUUGGUCAAUGGACGCAAGUCUGAACCAGCCAUGCCGCGUGCAGGAUGACGGCUCUAUGAGUUGUAAACUGCUUUUGUACGAGGGUAAAUCCCGAUACGUGUAUCGUGUUGAAAGUAUCUUACGAAUAAGAAUCGGCUAACUCCGUGCCAGCAGCCGCGGUAAUACGGAGGAUUCAAGCGUUAUCCGGAUUUAUUGGGUUUAAAGGGAGUGUAGGCGGUUCGAUGAGUUAGUGGUGAAAGCCUGGGGCUCAACUCCGGCACUGCCACUGAUACUGUCGGGCUAGAGUUUAGUUGCGGUAGGCGGAAUGUAUGGUGUAGCGGUGAAAUGCAUAGAGAUCAUACAGAACACCGAUUGCGAAGGCAGCUUACCAAACUACGACUGACGUUGAGGCACGAAAGCGUGGGGAGCAAACAGGAUUAGAUACCCCUGUAGUC